AAGGACUUCUGGGCUGCCUGGGAGCUUCUGGCGAGACCGUGAGAGCCCUCAGGAGCCUAACCCGGGAGGUGGCUGCCUUGGUUGGUUGCCAGCCUUCCCCCAGAGGAGCCCCACCUUUGACUUUGAGCUACCCUUCUCUGACACCAGAAGUCAGCAAGUGUUUACGCCUCCACCAGAUUGCCUGUGUAUGCCAUCGCCUGUACUCUACCACUGCCAGAAGGGAUGGCUAUGAUCAUCUAGUCUGACCUUCUGCAUAACAUGGACCACAGGACUUUCCUAAAUGAAAUCCAGCCGCAAGCCUUACAGCUCUGCUUGAACACUUGGCUUGACCUUGAAGUCCAUAUACACUCACAACUCCCACUGGAAGUCCAUGCUGCCAGACUACUCUCUGGAAGCACAGUUUAUUAUAAGACUGGCAAAUGCAAUAAUACUGCAGAAAAUAACAUUUACAUACAUACACACAUGC